CCUACGGGAGGCAGCAGUGGGGAAUAUUGCACAAUGGGGGAAACCCUGAUGCAGCGACGCCGCGUGAGUGAAGAAGUAUCUCGGUACGUAAAGCUCUAUCAGCAGGGAAGAAAAUGACGGUACCUGACUAAGAAGCCCCGGCUAACUACGUGCCAGCAGCCGCGGUAAUACGGAGGGGGCAAGCGUUAUCCGGAUUUACUGGGUGUAAAGGGAGCGUAGACGGCAGCACAAGUCUGGAGUGAAAUCCCGGGGCUUAACCCCGGAACUGCUUUGGAAACUGUGCGGCUGGAGUGCAGGAGAGGUAAGCGGAAUUCCUGGUGUAGCGGUGAAAUGCGUAGAUAUUAGGCAGAACACCGAUGGCGAAGGCAGCUUACUGGACUGUAACUGACGUUGAGGCUCGAAAGCGUGGGGAGCAAACAGGAUUAGAUACCCGGGUAGUC
rnacentral:rRNA from 1 species